CCAACAAACGGAGAUGACAUUCCUCCAUAACCGCCUUUCACAGGCUGAUGAUGUCUACGUAACC
rnacentral:ncRNA from 1 species